rnacentral:lncRNA from 1 species
ACAUAGCAAGACCUCAUCUCUUUAAACAAACAAAAGAAUAAAAAAGCCUUAGCCCAGCCAUGGUACAGAAGAGGCCAAUGAGGGUUUGGCCCCUCACCUUGCCUGACACUUCAUCUUCUCCUCUAAACACGAUCAUUACCAGCUGCCUGUCAUCUGCCUAUAUGGAGACAUGUGGGCUGAUUUCUGCUUUGGUUGAAGUCUGGUCGUUCGUUCAGCAGAUAUGUAUUGAGCAUUUCUGUGCCAAAGGGAGUAAGAAAGAGAAAGGGCAACCACGGCCCUAACUGACCAUCAGUGGGAUGAGAGAGUGAUGGUGACUGCUGUGAGGAACAUGCGGCUCUGCAUGAGCGACAUGGGUCUGGGCCUGACCAGGCCGUGGUGGGGUCUUAUUGGCGGAGAUGGGGAGAACUUUACUCCAGGCCCAGAGAAUGACACGAGCAAAGCUGGGUGAAGGGUCAGCAAGUAGACAGGUGUGUCCAGAGCAGAAGGAAGCAGGACUUUGAAGAUAAAUAGACCCUGUUGAGGGCUUUGCAAUGCAGAACAAAACAAGGAGGGUGGAUUUUAUUUUGGAGACUUCCCCUACCCCCGUCCCUGGAGCUGUUGCUGGCGUAAUGGAGGGACACAGUGGGAUCACAUGCUGCUUGUGGGAGGGUGAAUUUUGUAGAUCCUUGAAAGGGAGUGGGAGGGAGGGAGAGAUCAGAUAUAGAAUAUCAAGGGAAUUGGAACACCUUGCCAAUGUAGUCACUAUGGCAAGUCAUUUCUAGUAACCUGGGGACAUGCCGUCCUCCUACAGCCCUCCCAGAGCCCGUUCGUACAAUGUUGCAGGUAUUUGCUGUGAUUACUUUUCCCAUUUUCCAGAAGACCUAGGUGGGAUUUGGCCUGAAGGAACCUGGUUCUAAGGGCAGGUUGGGGGCAAGAGGGGAGACGUGGGGCAGUAGUCAAAAGCGAGGAUGGCAGCAGCCAAGGAAGAGGCUUUGGUGAAGAGCGGCCGAAGCGAGACCAUAGGACACGAUCUUGGGCACGCGUGUCUAGGAGGCUGCCCCGGCCUGCUCCUCCUUCCUGUGGUGUGUGUGGGUGCCCUGGAGUAGAUCAUUGGGCAGUUGCUGCUUUGCUGCAUUCCCACCGGCCAGUGAAUUUGUUUUAGUCCUCAGGUGCUUUACAUAAGGAGGAAACCAUGUAACCUUCACAAGUUUUUUCCCAGUCAUUUAAAAAGGCUUGUUUUCCAGCCGAAGGCAUGUCGAAUAAGCUUAAUUUCUCUCACUCAGAUCAGCUUAAUUUCUCUGUGAUGUGCAUACAGAGAAUUGCUUAAUUCUCCUUUUGCAACAUGUUUUCCCAGCUGCUGAGAGCCCUGCUUUUUUUCCAUGGGCCUCCUGACAGAAAUACAAACAAUUUAAAGCCAUGCGGUACCAACUGCUCUUCGUCACCACAUGGACUGUGGAUGUCAGUGUGUUUCCCCUUGGGCUGGAUUUGUCUGGAGCUGGUGGCUGCUUUCUUGUCCUUCCGUGCCUCCUGGGAGUCAGGGAUCAAGGCCGUGCUGGGUUGUGCUGAGAGCCACAGCCCCUCCUUCAAGUGGGGUACCCUCCCUUCCCAGCCUAGUCCUACAUCCUUGUUGUGUGAGGAAAUGAAGUCUGUUCCUUGGAUGCGUUCUGACGGGAAACAUGUUUUCUGUGGCACCUCUGCUUAGUCUUUCAGUGCAACACAAACAGCCUUUUGAUACCUUGUUUUGUAAAAAGUACAUUUCCACAAUGGGGCUUGACACUGUUCAUAAAUAAACACAUCCGUUUACAGGCAAAGCAAGGGAAGAACACAUAAGGGAACAGUUUGACCAGGGGUUUUGCUUUUCCCUCUGUGAAUGCCUGGUGUGCACCAUCCAUCCGAGGAUGACUAGGGGAGAACACUAUUCUGUGGCUGCCAAAACCACAACAAAUGACAACUUUCCAUUCUGUCAUCUCUCUCGGCACCACUGCUAGCAAGCAAUUCAUUUUUCUACCAUAAAAGGGCAAUAGAACUUGUCUAUAGCUGCGGUGUCUUCUGCUCUGCAGAGAGAGAGCAGGAGACCGGCAGGGAGAGGCACUCUCAGCAGUAGGCGCAACCGUGCUCACCCCGUGCCUAACAGCCUUGCUUAGUCCGGGCUCCGAGGCAGCAGCAGCCAUAAGAAAAAACAGGAGAGGAAGGCGAUGUGGCGCUUCUGCCGGGCCCUCAGACUGGGGAGUGUGAGAGAAAUGGGGAUCCUGUUUUCUGUCCCAGCCCCCUUCAGGGUGGUUGUGAGAAGCAAAUGAGGCCGCAACAGAGUCAUACUCUGUCAACCCAGGCUGGAGUGCAGCAGC